rnacentral:tmRNA from 1 species
GGGGCUGAUUCUGGAUUCGACGGGAUUUGCGAAACCCAAGGUGCAUGCCGAGGGGCGGUUGGCCUCGUAAAAAGCCGCAAAAAAUAGUCGCAAACGACGAAAACUACGCUUUAGCAGCUUAAUAACCUGCUUAGAGCCCUCUCUCCCUAGCCUCCGCUCUUAGGACGGGGAUCAAGAGAGGUCAAACCCAAAAGAGAUCGCGUGGAAGCCCUGCCUGGGGUUGAAGCGUUAAAACUUAAUCAGGCUAGUUUGUUAGUGGCGUGUCCGUCCGCAGCUGGCAAGCGAAUGUAAAGACUGACUAAGCAUGUAGUACCGAGGAUGUAGGAAUUUCGGACGCGGGUUCAACUCCCGCCAGCUCCACUA